GAUGAAGAACGCAGCGAAAUGCGAUAAGUAAUGUGAAUUGCAGAAUUCAGUGAAUCAUCGAAUCUUUGAACGCACAUUGCGACCUCUGGUAUUCCGGGGGGCAUGCCUGUUCGAGCGUCAUUACAACCCUCAAGCUUUGCUUGGUAUUGGACAUUGCCAGUUUCUGGCAGGUCUUAAAAUCAGUGGCGGUGCCAUUUGGCUUCAAGCGUAGUAAUUCUUCUCGCUUUGGAGAUCCAAGUGGUUACUUGCCAAUAACCCCCAAUUUUUUCAGGUUGACCUCGGAUCAGGUAGGGAUACCCGCUGAACUUAAGCAUAUCAAUAAGCGGAGGA
rnacentral:misc_RNA from 1 species